AUUGAACGCUGGCGGCAUGCUUUACACAUGCAAGUCGAACGGUAACAGGCCGCAAGGUGCUGACGAGUGGCGAACGGGUGAGUAAUGCAUCGGAACGUGCCCAGUCGUGGGGGAUAACGCAGCGAAAGCUGCGCUAAUACCGCAUACGAUCUAUGGAUGAAAGCGGGGGACCGUAAGGCCUCGUGCGAUUGGAGCGGCCGAUGUCAGAUUAGGUAGUUGGUGGGGUAAAGGCUCACCAAGCCAACGAUCUGUAGCUGGUCUGAGAGGACGACCAGCCACACUGGGACUGAGACACGGCCCAGACUCCUACGGGAGGCAGCAGUGGGGAAUUUUGGACAAUGGGCGCAAGCCUGAUCCAGCAAUGCCGCGUGCAGGAAGAAGGCCUUCGGGUUGUAAACUGCUUUUGUACGGAACGAAACGGUCCUGGUUAAUACCCGGGGCUAAUGACGGUACCGUAAGAAUAAGCACCGGCUAACUACGUGCCAGCAGCCGCCGUAAAAC
rnacentral:rRNA from 1 species